GAGCGAGGGUUUGCUCAGUAUUGAGUAUUCUAAGAUUAGAAUGUUCAAUUCUGAGCAAAACCAAGCGGCGGACGGGUGAGUAACGCGUGGGUAACCUGCCCUAUACACAUGGAUAACAUACUGAAAAGUUUACUAAUACAUGAUAAUAUAUAUUUGCGGCAUCGCAGAUAUAUCAAAGUGUUAGCGGUAUAGGAUGGACCCGCGUCUGAUUAGCUAGUUGGUGAGAUAACUGCCCACCAAGGCGACGAUCAGUAGCCGACCUGAGAGGGUGAUCGGCCACAUUGGAACUGAGACACGGUCCAAACUC
rnacentral:rRNA from 1 species